UACACUGAACAAAAAUUGUUGCGAUAUAGCAUAUGAUUUGUCAUUUGAACGACAUAAAAACUCAAUGUUGACGAUUUCGAAUGGCAAUCAUCUAAAAAAUGGUGGAUUCAAGAUCGAAUGACUUCAUGUCUGUAUUGGAAUGAACAGUCUGUGAUAUUCGAAGAAUAGACAUAACGCCAUAUGAAUUAUUUGCACCCAACAAAGUAAACGAUGGUUCUUAUUAUUAUCAUCUCAACUAACAGUAGUUGAUCAUUCGUGUUUCAUCUGUUUCCAGUGUUUGGGCUGGCUCGAAUGACAGUCAUUUGAAGCGCUUCAUGCGUUUGCGAGAUAAGUUUUUUCAUUAUUUCUGUGCAGUCGCAAAAAGUUAGUUCGCGACAUCAAAACGUGAAAAUACUGCUGCUUGUCAUCUUCAAGACUAACGUACACUCGAAAAAUAGCUUUGGAGCUGAUAUCCUGGUAUUGGGAGAGAAACUAGCGUCCGGAUCAAAGGAUUUAUUUGCAUAUUUUCGAGCAAUGCCACUGACAUGGUGUCUUUCAACAUACACGGAAUAGCCGUUAUUUAGUGCACAUAACUGGCCAAAGCCAUAGUAUGCAAGGCAAAGAGGGAGUACUGGAAAGGGAGUGAAAUAUACAAUAGGAUGGAUGCCAAAUAGCUGUCAAUUGAUGACUAUGUUGAUCGGAACUAUUAUUCUGGUGAAAUGGUGGCACUAACGAUUCAAUAUCGUACGGGAAUCACAGCCCUAGGAACCACGAGUCCCGAGAGAUUGUAGUUACAGAAAACACCAGGACCGCACAAACGUAAGAGAUUCUGUGAUGGACCAACGUUGCCGCAAGAGAACACUGGUAGCAAUAGGUUUGUUCCAGUACCAGGAGAAACUGGAAGUACUCCGGAGAAAACAGGGAGAAAAUCGUUCCUGUAUUAUCUUCUUUUCUUUUCUUUCUUCUGGUAGCAAAUCGGAGUGAAAAGGAGCAAGAAUUUUUUGUUCCGGAGCAACAGGGAGUGACUUCCGUGUACUGGAACAAACCUAAUCAUUGUUAGCAGAAAGGAAACCACUAUUUUGCGCUCAAGCUAGAAACCAAGUCACCCAGCAAUUUUUAAGUUUACCGUAAAACUUGAAGGCACUGAGCUAGAUCAGCAACCUCCCGGUGCGAUUGUUAAAAGUCGAUCAACGAUCCAGUAGAAUUACGCACUAGACAAGAGAAUAUGUCCGGAAUUACAAAUUCUGACUCAUCAGAUAUCUUUAAAAAAGCACUAGCUCGGAAACGGUAUCAAUCCAAACUAUGAAAAGUUUCGACUGACUCCGACGCAAAUUCGUUGAUUGCGCGAAUAUUAUAUUCUGGUACUGUUGGGUAAAUUUCACAUUGAAGAAUAAUUCCGUUGCUAGCUGCCAUGAUUCAGCAUCGAGAGAUAGAACCUAUAGUCGAGAUCGAACCAAGAGAGCAAGGCAAACCGUUGUCACUAAACGCCCUAGCACUAAACUAAAACAAGUUAUAUUACACAUAAGACAUAACUUUCUCCGCUAAAGGAAGGCAACAAAUUUUUACCGUUAAAUUUGAACACUGCGUAAUUGUCUCUCUUCGUUUACUUUCGUAGUCACCGACGUUACGUAACAUGUUUUAACUGAAGAAUUUUUUUCGAAGACUCACGUACCGGGGGAGUAGCGAUAAAAAAAGUUGUGGUUCAGCCGGAAUUGAACUGGAUUUCUGGCUGGUUCCAGUUCGUAUUCUGGCUCCAGUAACACAACCGAUUCUAAUUAGCCACUGAAGUCGGAAUACGAACUGGAACCAGCCAGAAUUCCGGUUCAUUUCCGGCUGAGCUUAACUGGGUGCUAAAGCUGUAAGAUUGUCAUGAUGACAUUGGUAACGAAACUAUAUUAAGCAAAGUGUCAAAAGUUUGAAUUCAAUGUGAGGUUAUUUUUUAUACUACGGUAGCAUGUUACAAGCAUUUGGAUUGUGUUUUGAUGUUUUUAGAAUAUAUUAUUUUGAUCAAUAGUUUUUAAGAAACCAAUAACAAUA